UUAAUUCUUAUAUAUUCCGCUUCACUUCACAUCCAAACAAAUCCUGCAAAAAAAAAACCCUAAUCCCCUCUCUCUCGUCUUCUAUCGGCAGUAGCAAUGGAUGCCACCAAAGAAGCCUCUGUCACCGAUUUGAAGCGACCGAGAGAAGAGGAUGAUAACAACAACACCGCCGCCGUCGCCUCCAUGGAGACAAAGGAGCCGGCUUGUUUCUCCUCCGUGAUUCCCGGGUGGUUCUCCGAGAUGAGUCCCAUGUGGCCAGGAGAGGCACACUCUUUGAAGGUUGAGAAGGUUUUGUUUCAAGGCAAAUCAGAUUACCAAGAUGUCAUUGUUUUCCAGUCUGCGACGUAUGGGAAAGUUUUGGUUUUGGAUGGAGUCAUACAACUUACGGAGAGAGACGAGUGCGCUUAUCAGGAGAUGAUCACUCAUCUGCCUUUGUGCUCUAUCCCUAACCCAAAGAAGGUGUUGGUCAUUGGAGGAGGAGAUGGAGGUGUCCUGCGGGAAGUUGCACGCCAUUCCUCUGUUGAGCAGAUUGACAUGUGUGAGAUUGAUAAAAUGGUGGUUGAUGUCUCUAAGCAGUUUUUCCCUAACGUAGCAAUUGGAUUCGAGGAUCCUCGUGUCAACCUCGUCAUUGGCGAUGGUGUUGCUUACUUGAAGAAUGCUGCUGAAGGUUCAUAUGAUGCCGUCAUUGUUGACUCCUCGGAUCCAAUUGGUCCUGCUAAGGAGCUGUUUGAGAAACCUUUCUUCCAAUCUGUGGCGAGAGCGCUUCGUCCUGGUGGAGUUGUGUGCACUCAGGCCGAAAGCUUGUGGCUUCACAUGGACAUAAUCGAAGACAUUGUUUCCAAUUGUCGUGAGAUCUUCAAGGGCUCUGUGAACUACGCGUGGACCAGUGUUCCAACAUACCCGAGUGGGGUUAUUGGAUUCAUGCUAUGUUCAACUGAGGGACCUGACGUUGACUUCAAACACCCUGUGAACCCAAUUGAUGACAGCAAAUCAAGUGGACCGUUGAAGUUUUAUAACGCUGAGAUUCAUUCAGCUGCCUUCUGUUUGCCUUCUUUCGCCAAGAAGGUGAUCGAGUCAAAAACCAAUUGAAAAGGGGGAAGAAGUAGUCUGGAGGAUGGUUGCAUUUAUCAGAAUAAAAACUCUUUUUUUUUAACAAUUUUUAGAAUGCUAUAUUUGUUUCAAGCAUGUGUACCUGUGACACUAAUGCAAGAGUAUGUCUUAUCUUAGCAUAAUGGCAUUGCACCCUAUCAACAAGUUCCCUUUGCUUUUUCAUUGAAGCUGAGAAAUUUUAUAAGCUUUCUGCCUCACACAUUUAUUUAAAACUCGGAAGUUUGGUCAA